AAAAUGAUAUCUGUGCAAACAAAUAUUUCUUUUUUUGUCCACUGUAUUUCUCUAUCGCUGGGUUUAUGGUAUACAACAUUCACCGCUCUUUUUCCUCCAUUUUUGCUUCUCUUCACAAUCUUUCAUAGUUUCUCGAGACUUUGAAGAUUUGAUUAUACUAAAGUAGUUUCAAUUUUGACUUAGCAGAAGAUGGAACAGCUAUUUCAUUAUGGUGUGUUGAUCCCGGUACGCUAAGUCAUGUUGAGAUCAAAUGUUUCGAUGGACAAAAUUGGGAAGGCUCGUACGAGCAAACUGGCAUUGCAUCCUGUUCAAGGGCAACAGAUGAAGACUCAAAAUGAUAUCAACUUUUGUUUUGAAAGCCAGAAGCAUAAUGUAACACUUGAUCAAAUUUCUUGAUUCAUCUUCUCUAUCUGUUUUCACAAAUUUUUAUUGUUAUAAGUUGAAUUCAUCCUUGAAAAUGAUGUUAAGUGACAUACAAGUUUAACUAAAUUUUGAUACGGCAGAGUGAUUCA